rnacentral:rRNA from 1 species
GACGAACGCUGGCGGCGUGCUUAACACAUGCAAGUCGUACGGUAAGGCCCUUUCGGGGGUACACGAGUGGCGAACGGGUGAGUAACACGUGAGUAACCUGCCCACAACUUUGGGAUAACGCUAGGAAACUGGUGCUAAUACUGGAUAUGUGCUCCUGCUGCAUGGUGGGGGUUGGAAAGCUCCGGCGGUUGUGGAUGGACUCGCGGCCUAUCAGCUUGUUGGUGGGGUAGAGGCCUACCAAGGCGGCGACGGGUAGCCGGCCUGAGAGGGUGACCGGCCACAUUGGGACUGAGAUACGGCCCAGACUCCUACGGGAGGCAGCAGUGGGGAAUAUUGCACAAUGGGCGCAAGCCUGAUGCAGCAACGCCGCGUGCGGGAUGACGGCCUUCGGGUUGGAAACCGCUUUCAGCAGGGACGAAGCUUUUUGUGACGGUACCUGCAGAAGAAGCACCGGCUAACUACGUG